AAGCACUGUACAAAAUGCUCUGCCGUCUGUAUGGACUGCUUUUUCUAAUCAAAAGGCGUGUGUGGUGACCUUUGGGCAGCCCCUGGAAGGCUUAUUCUUCGUGUUGUGUCUGCGUCUUCACUGCCAGACAAUGCGCCCCACUCACCGUUCAUCUGCCUCCUGUGUCACACCGGGAGUAAAUGUCACUCCAGCUGGCUGCCUUUCCAAAUAGGCACUUUCUCAGCGCUCAGAAAAGGACUCGAUAUUUGCACAGAGUGCUUUGAAGGUCACCUGCUUGAGUUGUUCCCUGCCUCUCGCUUUGGCCCUUUCCCUCUAACCCCUCUGUUGAAACGGCAUUCAUAAUCAUAGCGAUAACAGCCCCUCCUAUUUACUGAGGACUUACCCUGCACCAGGAGCCAUGGACGGAUGUACCAGAAUUAUGUAUUCUAAGCAUCCCAGAAAUCCUAUAAAUUUCUCGACCUUCUCACUUUUCAGAUGGGAAAACUGAGGUCCCAGAGAAGUUAAUAAGCUUUCCCGAGAACCGAAGUCAUGGCCCAGAACGGAGGCAUAGCUCUGCUUUUGAUGCCAUGUCCUCUGGCAAGUCCCCCAUGGUCUCCUGGGCUCCGUAAGGAGCUCCCCUUGCUCCCAUAAUGCUCUGUGCUGCCGCUCCUAUAGCACUUUCUCCCUGGAUUGUAACAUUUGUUCACCACUCACUCUUCCCAUUAAAUCAGGGGAUCCUCAGGCACAGGGGCCAUCCAUAUCUUAUCCAAUGUUCAGAACAGUCUCUGGCAGGAGCUGUUUGGACCCUGGCUGGCUCUCCUACGAUGUGCUGUGAUGAUCAUCCUGAAAGCAAGGCAAGAUGGGGAGAGGAGUUUCUUAUCAAUGCUGGAAGACACAUGGGUUUCUGUUUUCUAGUCCUGAAUUGGACAGGGAUGAUGAGGAAGGGGACAUGUGCCAUCUACCUGAAGCCACUUCUCCCACUGUGGAAAAUGAAGCCUAUCUUACCAUCAACUCUGCAUGGGAAGGCCAGCUACUCUGUGAAGAAUGUUUGGAGGAAGAUUCAGGGACCAUUCCCUUGCCACAGUUCUGUUCUUGGAGUGCCCUCUCGGAGUCUUUGCCUGCAGAAGAGGCUUGUGAGAGUGACAGUGAAUGGGAAGACCUGGAGGAGGCUGUGGACCCGGAAGAUGACACCCUCAGGUGAACAGAGAAAGUUGGACAGUCACCCAAGGCAGAACCCAAGGUUUCUGCAUGCACAUCCUUUUGACAGUGAUCACAUGGAAGAGGCCUCCGAUGCCCUUGGUCCGGAGAAUGUACGCACGAGCCCUACAACCAGGAAAGAAGCCUGUGGGUCCCCGAGAAGGCAACAUGGAAUGGAGGGUCUGGCCCAGUUGAGAACUAACUUCAAGAAGAUCAUGCCUGUCAGUUCUGAGACUCAUUUUGAAUAG
ensembl:lncRNA